GGGUCCGGCGUCGCCGGGCGCUUGCGAGCCCCCCGCCGGGCGGCCGAGGUAAGGAGGGGAAGAUGGCGGAGUGAGGGGAAGACGCGGAGGGGCUGGGGCCGGCCGCGGCCCCGCGGCCUCGGCCGCGCUCAGGCUCACUGAAGAGAAUGUGGAUUGAUCAAAAAUAAUGCUCUCCAGGUCUGUUUUUCCCCAUCUUCAUAACAAGAGUAAGACUUUCCCAGUAGUGUGAGCAUGGAUGGUCAAGCUCACGUUCAGCUGAAAUAUUUGAGUGCCUCAGAGAGAGAGUGGUGGUGAUGUGUGCUGUAUUUCCAUUGUCAUGAUCUACUUGCUACUUCUAACACAGUUGAAAAUUGUCACUGGAAGGUUAUUUCUGAACUUAAUCAACAAAAGGGUUAAGAUCCUCUCCUGACAUUCAAGAAGAAAGCAGUCCUGUUGCUUGCUCAUAGGCUGCAACAUGUGGCUGUUUCUCUUCUAGCAAGCAAAAAGCUGUCCUUCACUUCCAUGGAGCUGAAUGAACAAAGAUCUCUCCGCUUCCUAUUUCAACCAUCUCACCCAACAUUUGAUUCACCAGAUGACUUCUGCCACAGAAGUACCCCACCGUUUUAUCAAAACUCCAAAAGCAGAGUAACAGAAAUCAGCAUUUGUUUCCCUGAAGAAAUGUCUUCUGGGCCAGCUCUUCAUCCAGCUUUCUGCAUUCUGUUCUAAAGUGAGAAAUACUUUGUAAUCAGAUGCAAGAGAAAGCUGGUGAUGUUCACCGGUAUUUCCUUCUUCAUUUUAGGAAGGUUAAGUACUUCACUGUGUCAUAAUGGAAUUUCUAGCAGAUAAAGUGUCUGCAUGCAUUGCGAUGUCAAACUGUCUUGACAUGUAUGAAAAAUUGCAGCAGGAAAACCAUAACAUAUUUUCUGCUCUGACAUGAUGAAGAAACUUGCCAAACAACUGGGGACAUCCCAUACAGGUAUUUUCUAGUCCAGGACCCAGGCUUGACUUUGUAGAUAGAUGUCUUGAUGUCAACUCACGUAAAGCAGCUAACGCACAGGAACAAAUGCAGAAUCACCUUGUCUAUAGUGUGUAAAUGCAUCGUCCCAGUCUGUGAUCAAAAUGUAUAUUUGCAUGUGCAAACCUAUGUAAGUGCUGGAUAUGAAGAGCUUUCACCAGGAGGAGAAAUUACUCUGCACCAUUUCAUUUUUAGCAAAGAAAAAUGAAGCUUUAAAGGCCUCUGGGGUAACAGGAUAAUGAUUAGGUUUAUGUUGAAUCAUUCCUUCCCUUUGGCUUUUUAUGAGUCUUUAGCAGCAAAAGGAACAAAAACAUUCUACGGUAGAAGAGAUAGGUCAGAACUUCUUUCUUUAUUAAAGAAAUUAACUUCUCUUGGGGUAGAAGAGACCAGAGAUGUAAAGUUGCAGUUUAUCCACUCAGCUUUCAUGGCAUGGUUUCAGCUUUUCGUACUGCUGAUGCAAUCAGCUUUUUGAUUCUUCUGUGACUGAGAGCUGAGGUGACCUGUAUGUUUCCAUCAUCUAGGUAGAAAUAGGCCCAAGAGAAUGGACUGUUGUUAGCCACGUAAGAGGGGUGACGUGAGAGAGCAGAAAUACUUAGGAUGGGCCGCCUUCUGCUUCCUCUUAUUCCUUUCCAAACUAAGGCGCAAUCUGUUGUUCUUAUGUUUACACAAGAUUCUUUGUCUCCAUCAUUUGUGAUUCUAUAGGAUGUUUUCUAUCAUUCUGAGAUGGGAGUGUGUAUUGUUUACAUGCUCCCUGCUAUGAUAUUGUAUAUGGCAAGUAAGAUUUCUUGGCAAAAAAACCCAGAACCGGGAUAUGUAUUCUAUUCCACCUGAAAUCUGGAGCUCUUCUUAGUGCACCUUAUUCCAAGCUUGUGAUUUAGAAAAUGUGACUUAUUACCUUAAAACAAUAUUUUCAAAUCUGGAUCAAAUACAGGUAUAUAGGUUCUGUUAAUAGGUUUUGGGAAAUAAUAGCAUGGUUGGGGCGGAUAUUUUAGAUUUCUUGUUUGGUUCUAUUUUUCACUUUAGAAAAACUGCUGGAGAGAGCCAGGCAGCCUGAAAUUGGCUGAAAAAGCCAACAAUUGAAUUCCCUCUUAAAUCUUAAUGAUAGAUUGCAAAGGCAGCAUUCUGAUACUAAAAAUGUGGUGACAUUUUAUGGGACCAAGUUCCAUAGUAGAGUAAGGACAAGUGUUGAUGUUGAUCCUAAUCUUCAGAGUAGAGUUAAGCCUGUGUUUAGACUUGCAUUGUAACAAUAAGAUUUAAUGACAGCUUUACCCAUUUUUUGUUUCCAUGAAGAGAAGAUCAGAUGUGUAAGCUAAAGAGUGAUGGGCAAGACGCUGCAUAUCAAAAAAUGCCAACUGUAAUGAGCAGAGAGGUGCACCAAAAUUGUGUAUAACAUUGUGAUGAGCUGUGUGAUAAAAGUUACAUUGAUCUUGAUGAGGCAACCACCAGCUUGGCCUGACUUUUUUUAAGAACGUAGGAUUUCUUUGCUGAAUAUGGUCUGAAUUUUCUGGCAUUGGAGGCAACUAGAAAAGCACACUUCCUUUUAGGGCCUCCUUAUGUUGAAACCAAUGGGAUUUAAUGUAGAUGUCUGUAGAAGCAGGAUCCAUCUCUAAGUGAUGGAAAAUACUGUCAAUAUCAUAAGAUUAUAAGUGGUUGGGAGGUAUCUGGUACAAGAAACAUCUGAUUUUUAGAUCUGGGAAUUUCCUUUUCCUCCUUCUUCCCAAUUUACCCUUUUGACAUUAGAGCUGGCAGUUGUUUCUUGCAUAGCUUGAUGACAAAAUACUUGAGGAACAGGAAGGUAUUUUUGUUUUCUGUGGGCAUGUACAAAAACUAACAAUGUGUCUGACUAGAGAAUAGACAUUAAGCUCUUUAAUUUCUUUUUCUGUGGGAAUAACCCUCAACAUUUAGUAACCCUGCAUUGUAAUAAAAAAAAAAUAGAAUUGCUGAUUUUUUCCUGACUGCUAUUCAUGAUAAUGUAACAACAUUAGUUUUCAAGUUUAAUUUUAAAUCAUAAUAUUUUUAGCAGGGCUAUGGAUCUGUGGCUUUCACAGAAGUAAUACUCCAAUAGUGCAUGCCCAGAAGACCCCCACUGCCGUACCUUUCCAGCCAGCACCUUUAUAAAACUGCUGUGUUAGGAAAUGCUGCCUCAGCCUACCUAACUUUUUCGUGCUCCACUUUUUCUCUAUGUCGGUUGGAAAUCUUCCCAUGUGAAAGAUUACAAAAACAAGGGGCAUGUGCAAUAGAUCAUAUAUAUAUACAUAUAUAUAUUUUAAUACUUGUGGACAAAAUGAUGUUACAAGUUGUUUGAAAACAACAAAAUCACCAAUGUCUUCCAUUUUGAGAUGUGUAUAGUUCCAUAAGCAUUAGUGCUUUGUAGCAAACUGUAGUGCCAUGUUAGGAUCAGUGCAUGAGCCUAGUAGUAUUUUUACAAUUUCAGAGUGACAAAUUUAUUAAUAAACAGUGAUGAUAAUGUAAUUAACAAUAGAAAGGAUACAAUAGAAAUGUCACAAACAUGGUCUAAACAUGCAGUAUCCUCCCUUUGACAAUGGCAACGCUAUCUUUAGGAAUGGAAUGCAUUCACUUAACGGGCUUCAUAGAAUCAUAGUUGACUUUUUGGUUUUAGUCUAUCUGUCCAACUGCAAUAGUAAGCUAGUGUAUGUAAGCGUCCAGAAUUCUCAUCUCUAUCAGUGGGUUUCUUUUCUUUCUAGUCUUUGUUGAAGGUAUUUUUUUCCAUGUGCAGCAUUUUCAAUUUUAUUAUCAUCAUAGGUUGGGUAUACUCAGAAAAAUAUGAAUAUGCUGAGGAGUUUGUGUGCAUUUUGUACGCAUCUCUGCUACCUUAAGAUCAUUUACAAAAUCUGUUAAGUAAAUUUAUUUUUUCAGAUCUGACUAUAGAAUUGUUAUAACUAGGUAAACGUUAUCCUCGUUAUUUAAGUUAAUGGUUGCAAAAUGCUAUCUGCCAAUUCUACGUAGAAGACUUUUAUCUGUUAUUGCAGGAAUGGGGAACCUUUUUUGGCUGAAGUCCUGUUGAAUCUUUUCACACCUUUGGUGGAUCCUGCAUUUACAUACAUCUUAAUGUUGAUAAUAAUGAGAGAAUAUAAUAAGGUCAAGGGCUGUUGAAAAACAACAUUGCAGACUGUAUCUGUGCAGCAGGCUAUCUCUAGCCUAUGGAUCAGAGAUUCCCCAACCCUGUAUUAUUGAGAACUCAAUAUCCUGUAUUUUAAGUAACUUCCAGUAUUGCUUUCCAGCUCUAAGCUCAAUUUUAAUAAUUUCUGCCUCUCCCCUCUGCUUUUUCUCAGAAGGAAAGUUUAGACCAGGGGAAGUCUAAAUGGUUAAGCACUCAAUGGGCAGCUUGGGCUGGUCAAAUAAGAGACUGGUAUGGUUCCUGAGAUGCGCAAUGCUCUAUGGAUGGAAUUCUCUGAUUUCCUAGGAAAAAGUCUUUUAUUUGGUGCCAGUGUUGCUCUUCACGCAUUUCUCUCUUUUGCAAGAACAAAAUUCUCUUUUAACUUAGAGAGGAUACUGCAUUUUUUUUUUCCUGAGACCUGCCUGUAAAUGGCCGUUAGGGGGAGGGAGGGAAUGGGUUGCUUGGUUUUGUAAUUUUGAUACGAUGUGUCUCUAAAGUAAUUAAUCAAGAAGCAUGUACUUUGUUGCAAAACCAGUACUCUGUGCAGAGUUAAUGUAUGUAAGGGGGAACAAACCCAACCAAACAACCAACCCUCUUCAUCUAAUACAUUUCCAAGAAAAUUGGACAGGUGGGCCAUUUACAGCAGAGCUCUGGGGGACCUGUGCUGAGCGUUAUGUUCAAUUCUAAAUGGAAGUAGCUGUACCAUUGAAUAAAGUAGUUUAGUGCUUGGGAGAAUCAAUUGAAAAAUACCUCUGAAACUGGAAUGCAAAAUAGCACAGUACGUAGGGGGAAGAAUCCCUGAUGCAAACAAAGCCAUAAGAUGAUUUAAUAAGAAAAUAGAACUUUAGUAGCAAUAACUGUUUUGCAUGUGAUAGUAACUAACUUGCAUUAGCAAGACUGUACAGUAGAGUAAGUGGGUAAUAACCAAAUACGUUUGUGGCGCUCUGUGCUGCAGGUAGUUGUGUGAAGAGUCUCUUCCUGAGAAGAUGGGUGAAUUCCUCUUAUGUUCCUCUCAUUGGAGGGAAUUUGGCACUUGAAUACUUAGUUAAUGAACCUGAUAUUAACAAAAAAAACAAAACAAAAAAAAAAACAAAAAACCAAAACCACACACAAAUUAGCUGUGUCACAGGUCUGAAGCACUGUCAGUGAGUGCUGGGGGAAGGGCAGAAGUACUUUUUGUUUCCUUUGUUUAAAAAGACCAAUCUGAGAUGGUCUUUAAACAAAAAGUUAGAGAAGUCUUGACACUCAAAACAUUUGUACAUUCCAAGCACAAUUGUAGAAUUCUAAAAAUGUUAUUUUACAGCAAAAAAUAAUUUUAACCUUGCUAAACACUCUAUUUCAGCCCAUAAUUGAUUUCUGUUGAUGCCUGAAGUUUUGCAGGGGCAGGUACUGCGAAGCCUCUGGUAACACAAAGGGUGAUUGAUCUACAGCUGUAGCUUCUGCACCCAGCAAAGUAUUUGUGAUCAAAGGGUUACAUAAAAGAGCCACAGGAGUUUAAAACGUCCAUAGUUGACACUGUUUUCAGUGCAGAUAUGUAGUCUAUAGAGACAAUAUGGCCCAACAGAUAAUAGUGUAUUCUGAACAGAAUUAUUGUAUCAGAGGUUUAGAUCUUACCUGGCUGGAUUUCUUCUAGAAAGCUGAAAUAAUUUGGACGGUAACUUACAACUGAACAGAGGCUUCUAAUGUUUCAAAACUAGGAAGUCGCAGCCCUUUGGCUCUUCAUAAGUUGGUAAUGGGACUGUGAGGGCUGUGAGCAUUUUUGCAGUAUAAAGUAACCAAGAUAAGCGUGAGAAUGUCUAAAUUAAGUGUUGACUAAUAUGUAAUAAGUGUAUGAAAAGCUGAUUGAUCUGGAAGAUUGUAAUCAGCUUAAAUUCCAGCUAUUGAAUCAUUGAUAAAAUUGGAAGCUGGCCAUAGGGGACCUUAAUUUGAUUGUUGUCUGAUUACAUUAGAGAAAUUAUAAAUUUAUUCUGAUCUGUGGUCAGCAAGUACAUUUAUAUAAUAAUGAAAUAAUAAUGAAAACUCAGUCAUGUUCAUACUUCAGAAGUCUGAACUUUGGGGCUGUACAGAAUUCUUCGUUCAGAGAAGAGAGGGAAGAAAUCGAGCCUGAUGCAGCCAGCCAAGCUAUCUGCAUAUUCUUCCUAGUUCAGACUUUCUAUAAUGAUCUGUGGGCUACUAGACUAGAAACUAUUAAGAGCAACAAAAGGAAUCUCUUUGCCUUUCAGCCCUUGUACUAUGACAUGGACUUUUGCUCCAACCCCCUUGAUUUCCCUGCUUCUAAAACUAAGUGGAAGUGUUAGAUGCUAUGCACUCCUGUGUGGGAUAUCAAAGUGUAGUGACCAGUACUGACAUGCCCCCAGUAGCAGUACUAAAGCCAGACAAGACAAGUAUGUGCUGUUUCUACAUCCAGUAGUGCUGCUGCAGAAGGUCUAGCCAGUACUUGUGUUGGGAAUUGCACCUUCAGGAAUUGCACCUUCUGCAACUGAGGAUGAUGGUCAAAUUUAGGACAAAAGAGAAAGUCUUGCAAAGACGCCUUGAUAUAGUGAGUGAGAAGAAAUUGUACCAAGCUUCAGGAUACUGACACUCUACGCAAGAGUUACAUUGUCAAGAGCUGGCAGUGUGGUUUUUUGAGCAGAGAAGGGAAAAAUACAAAAGGAACAGUUUUUGAUGGAUAACCGAUCUUAGAAAUAACUGCUUCCUGCAUCCCUAGGAAACUGUCUGGUCUUCCUCCAAAACUAAUAAACCUGCUUGCUGUUCAGGUACAGAGCUGCACAAUGGCAGUUCAAGUUAGAUUCCAUUGGAUUUCUUUUACUGAAUGAUCCAGUAUUUUGCCCCUGUAGCGCUUUGACUGGCACACAAAAGCCAACAGUUGAACCAGGGCAACUCGUUUAACAGUGCAGAACACUAACCAUGGAUGCUGAGUUUUAUUCCCUUUCCGUCUGCUCUACGCUUUCUCCCGAGUUUUAGAGAAAGUGUUGGUGUUCAUGAUGUAAGCAGAGCGUGUUUCUGUCUCUGAGCUGAUGUGCCAGGUUAUAAUGCAGACAGAUUCCCUAUGGCUUUACAACAGAGAAAAGGUAAUUUACUGUUAUAACUGUCUAGUGUGUCCUAUGUCAACCCUGUCUGUUUCUCUCCACUCCCCUCCAAAUGAGUGUGUUUGCAGGUCAAAUAAAAGGUGGCUAGUUUGUAAUGCUUUAGGCAUGAAGAACUAUAUGGAGAAACGAAGGAAAGUGGCACAGGCCCACAAACCAAAUCUUAGAGCUAGUAUUCUAAUUAUGCAUGAUUCAAAAUGUCUAGUGUAAUGUAGUUAUUACCAGUAAAUUGAGAUAUGCAUUUAUACAUAAUGAAGCAAUAGGAAUUAAUAUACCAAUAGCUUGAACUUCCUGCUUGAAUUCUCAAAUUUUGAUUUUUUUUUUUUUUUUUUUAGAGAAUGUGCUGCCUCUGUAGAGAAAGGGGCAGAAUGUAUAGAUAGGGACAGAAGCAUGGCACCAAAACUGUAAAUCAGGAACAAGGAUCAGCAGAACUCGCCUUGAUAACCUCUUGUCUAGUUCGUAUUAGUGCCCUGAGCAUGUAAAAAGCAGGGCAUGAACUAAGCAUGUUUAGGGGCGAGAUGAGGUUUCUCACCUGCUGCAGCUGUAGCAAGGAAAAGGGUGCAGAGUUUCUUACAAGGUGCAAGGGGGGAGCAACUGGUGGGGAAAAAAACAAAACAAAACAAACACAAAACAACACAAAAAAAGGUAAUGGAAACCACAGACUCAAAUUGAGUGUAGUAUUUGCCAGACAGUAGGUAAUAAGCUUGGGUGUGGUGAGAGAAAUUAUUUGGAGAAGACUGAAAUUAAUAAGCACAGUACAUAUAUUUCAGGUGUUGAAUAGCUUUUUAAUAGACAGUAUUUUCAGGUAACUCUCUAGCCACAUAGGCAGCUGUACUGAAGCAUACUGGUACCAGCCAGCAAUAAUGGCACCUGCAGGAAUGAACCUGAAAAUACUGGUAAUCUUGUAUAUUUUUUAAGUUCUUUAAAGAGAUUUUUAAAAACAGAAAAUGAGAUUUGAUCACUGAAGGUCUUUAUCUUCUGCAACACAGGUUGCAAUAGUCUUUUUUUCUUUAUUUCUCUUAUUUAAUAAAAGGGAAUUUGGGUGCCAUCUUUCUGUAAACUUUUAGUGUGUUCUCUGUAAUAUUUCCCAAGUCUUUCAGUGGAUAAUGCAGUGAAUUUCUGCUGGCAGUUUGAAAAUAACAUAGAAUGUGUGGCAUAGCCUACGUCACUAAUACUUUUCCAAGUUUCAACUUGUAUUCAAGCAUGUAGAAUACUAGCUUGUUACUGCAAAAUUUCAUACUUCUAGCUUAGCUUAAUUUUGUAGGUGGGCUUAACUUGUGCAGAACACUUCUCCAUGUACAGAGGCUCAGUCCUUUUUCUUAAAUAGAAAGAGGAAGUGUCUUGCAGGAAGAAACUGUGUGUCAAGUUAACUCCUGUUCAUAUUUCAUAGCCAAUCAUCCAUACAGCAUCAUGAUUUGGGUUUAGAAUGGGGGUUGUGUUUUUUUUUUUUCAUGAAUGCUCUUUCUAGUUACACAAGAAUUGCCAAAUGAAGAUAGGAAUAUUAUAAGAGACCUGGUUUAUGGUAUCAGAAGUUAGACUAAAUGCAAUCCUUUGAGCCAAUUUCUUCAAGCAAAAAGAGAAUUUGUAAAACAAGUUUAGCCCUACAGUUGACCAGGGCCACCUAAUUCUUUGUGAGUAUUCUUUAGAACACUUCACAUAAUUUUAAACCCUGUGAAAUAUAUUUUGUGGGAUGUGUAAGCAAUUGUAUCUUUUGUUAAUGUUUAUUUCCUUCAAUAUAAAAGCUGGGGAAUAGUCUGUGAAGAUAUCCUCCUUUUCAAAAGUGACACAACAGCAAAGGAGAAGUAUUAGUUAUAGAUUCUUUAACUUUACCUUCAUACUUAAAAACAGGCUAGAAAAAUACUUCUUUUACUGCACUUCUGAUGGCAUGCUUAUAUGGAUUAGUGAAUAUGGAUUAGUGAAGGAAAUUAUUGGUGUCACUAGGAACUGUGUACUCCCAUUGCACAUGUUUUACAUGGUAACAGUGAAAGAAUGUCUCCCUGCAAAUUCUGAUGUUUUUCCAAAAGGCAGCUUGCUUUUAUAUCUAUGCAUCUUUGAGGAUUUCAAGAUAAGAUUUUAUUCUUUUGACACUGUAAAGAGGAACUGUUUAAAAAUGAACUUGGAAACUCUGCACCUGUAUACAAAUUUUUUUAGCAAUAAAGCAGCACAGGCUGAGAAUGCACUAAAA